UACGUAGGGUGCAAGCGUUAAUCGGAAUUACUGGGCGUAAAGCGCGCGCCGGCGGUGCUGUAAGCCAGGUGUGAAAUCCCCGGGCUUAACCUGGGAACUGCAUUUGUGACUGCAUCGCUGGAGUGCGGAAGAGGGGGAUGGAAUUCCGCGUGUAGCAGUGAAAUGCGUAGAUAUCGGGAGGAACAUCAGUGGCGAAGGCGGCUGCCUGGCCCAAUACUGACACUCAGGUGCGACAGCGUGGGGAGCAAACAGG
rnacentral:rRNA from 1 species